UACGGGGGGAGCAAGCGUUGUUCGGAUUUACUGGGCGUAAAGGGCGCGUAGGCGGCCACCGCAAGUCGACUGUGAAAUCUCCGGGCUUAACCCGGAAAGGUCAGCCGAUACUGCGGGGCUAGAGUGCAGAAGGGGCAACUGGAAUUCUCGGUGUAGCGGUGAAAUGCGCAGAUAUCAGGAGGAACACCAGCGGCGAAGGCGGGUUGCUGGGCUGACACUGACGCUGAUGCGCGAAAGCUAGGGGAGCGAACGGG
rnacentral:rRNA from 1 species